AAUUCCAUAUAUAACUAAUUAUUAAUAAAAAUCAACACACACAUCUACAAUCCACUAGUAGCAGUUAAUCACCUCUUAUAUCUCUAUUCAAAAAUAAAGGUAAAACCCGUAAUAUACUAUUCUUUAAUUACUUAAUUGUACUUUUAAUUUACUUCAUCAUUAACAAAUUGCCGAUGCAAGCGUGUAACUUCUUGACUUCUUCCAUCUUCCCUCAAAUACGCACUACGCGAAAAAAAAAAAAAAACCGCACAUACACCCGCCUGAAUUUGCACCACAGUCGCCGGCAAUCGUCGCAUUUACCUCGCUGGCCAAUUCCUCUGCGCCAGUGAAGUCGUCUUUGCCGUCUUCCAAUUACCCGAUAGAACAAGAGUCGUCUUUGGCCGCCAUUGUUCCAUUACCACCACCACGCCACAACGACGCCAAUUCGUCCGCCAGUAUACUGGUGAACAAUGAACCAAUGGAGGUGAUCAAACAUGGAUGUCCCACUAUAUACGCUAUUGGUGGCCGAAUCUAGCUAGUUAUAUAUUGUAAUAUGGUGCUUGCAGACAAUAUUUAGAAGGAAAUUAGGGAUGUAUAUGCUAGAAAUAUUUUGUAGUACAUUAAACAAUUAUUUUGUUUAGUUUGAUUUAAUACAUUUCAUUUAUAUUAGUAAGAAUUUAGUCA